rnacentral:rRNA from 1 species
UACGUAAGGACCGAGCGUUGUCCGGAAUCAUUGGGCGUAAAGGGUACGUAGGCGGUUAGAAAAGUUAGAAGUGAAAGGCUAUAGCUCAACUAUAGUAAGCUUUUAAAACUGUUUAACUUGAGUAGAUGAGGGGCAAGUGGAAUUCCUAGUGUAGCGGUGAAAUGCUUAGAUAUUAGGAGGAAUACCAGUGGCGAAGGCGACUUGCUGGAAUCUAACUGACGCUGAGGUACGAAAGCGUGGGGAGCAAACAGG